UAGGGAAUCUUCCGCAAUGGACGAAAGUCUGACGGAGCAACGCCGCGUGAGUGAAGAAGGUUUUCGGAUCGUAAAGCUCUGUUGCCAGGGAAGAAUGCUUGGGAGAGUAACUGCUCUCAAGGUGACGGUACCUGAGAAGAAAGCCCCGGCUAACUACGUGCCAGCAGCCGCGGUAAUACGUAGGGGGCAAGCGUUGUCCGGAAUUAUUGGGCGUAAAGCGCGCGCAGGCGGCUAAUUAAGUUCGGUGUUUAAUCCUGGGGCUCAACCCCGGGUCGCACUGGAAACUGGUUGGCUUGAGUGCAGAAGAGGAAAGUGGAAUUCCACGUGUAGCGGUGAAAUGCGUAGAGAUGUGGAGGAACACCAGUGGCGAAGGCGACUUUCUGGGCUGUAACUGACGCUGAGGCGCGAAAGCGUGGGGAGCAAACAGG
rnacentral:rRNA from 1 species